UAUAAAAAAAACAAGAAUGUGUCCAAAGUACACGGAUGCCCCACUCGCACUAUCCUUUUCCAUGUUCCAUGGACCGUGAAAUUGGGUAAUAAUCUAAUUUGGCAUUAAAAUAAGAAAGAUUAUACUAUAGGGAACAUAUGUACUAAGUUUCAAGUUGAUUGGACUUCAAUUUUAUCAAAAACUACCUUGACCAAAAACUUUAACCUGAAAUUCCCACUUUCAUUUUCUAUGUUCAGUGGACCGUGAAAUUGGGGUCAAAAGUCUAAUUUGGCUUUAAAAUUAUAAAGAUCAUAUCAUAAGCAACAAGUGUAUUAAGUUUCAAGUUGAUUGGACUUCAGCUUCAUCAAAAACUACCUUGACCAAAAACUUUAACCUGAAACUCCAACUUUCAUUUUCUAUGUUCAGUGGACCGUGAAAUUGUGGUCAAAAGUCUAAUUUGGCUUUAAAAUUAGAAAGAUCAUAUCAUAAUCAACAAGUGUACUAAGUUUCAAGUUGAUUGGACUUCAGCUUCAUCAAAAACUACCUUGACCAAAAACUUUAACCUGAACGGACGGACGGAAGAACGGACGAACGGAGCCACAGACCAGAAAACAUAAUGCCCCUCUACUAUCGUAGGUGGGGCAUAAAAAAG
rnacentral:lncRNA from 1 species